CUGGAUUCUGUCUCACACUUGAUCAAGAGCUCCAGUUCCUCGUUUGCUAGAAGACAAUUGCUCGAGCAAAGCUGAAUUCUCAGUGACAGUUCCUAAGGUUCUAUUUUCUAAAUCCCUAACCUCCAUGCUUGAUACUAAGUUUUCGUUCAGUACCAGAUGUCCUUUCCUUCAUUGUUCUAUAAUUGAGACACUUUUGAAUACGAAGAGAAAAACAAAGGGUGGGGAAAAUAUCAAUUUUCC
rnacentral:lncRNA from 1 species